ACGUAGGGAGCAAGCGUUAUCCGGAUUUAUUGGGUGUAAGGGGUGCGUAGACGGGAAAACAAGUUAGUUGUGAAAUCCCUCGGCUUAACUGAGGAACUGCAACUAAAACUAUUUUUCUUGAGUGCUGGAGAGGAAAGUGGAAUUCCUAGUGUAGCGGUGAAAUGCGUAGAUAUUAGGAGGAACACCAGUGGCGAAGGCGACUUUCUGGACAGUAACUGACGUUGAGGCACGAAAGUGUGGGGAGCAAACAG
rnacentral:rRNA from 1 species